AAGUCGUAACAAGGUUACCGUAGGUGAACCUGCGGUAGGAUCAUUAACAAAUCCAAGGUAGGGCUGCUACUGCGGCCCUAUACGUGCCGGUAGCGAGCGCUGUGGCGUUCGCGGCCGUGUUCGAGUGCUCUGCACAAGUAUGUAAGUGGGACAAGAAACAGUAAUGGUGGGAACAACAAACAACUUUUAACAAUGGAUCUCUAGGCUCUU
rnacentral:misc_RNA from 1 species